AAUCAAUUUCAAAUUUGCCUUAUAUCCCUUGCUAAUUUUUCUGAUUGGAAAAUGUCCAAUUCUGUAUCGUCACUUGACACAGAUACAUGUAUGUGUUGUUAUCAGUAAUGGCAGUUUUGUGGAGAUUGGUUAUUUAUCACAGGCCAACAUUCCACUCCAGCAUGUGAACUCCGGCAGCCAUUUUUCCCGACACACAUGGGCACCAUGAAACUGCGUAAUUUUCAUCGUCCUCCCCUCAAGAAGUAUUCUCAUGGACCCAUGUCUCAGCACGGACCACAGGCCUUACUGCCUCUACUGAAAACUAUAAGAAGGAAGGCAAAGAUGAGUUAUAAUUGACGGUUUCAAAUGUUACUUUCAGAUGAGAGAACAUGAGUGACUGGCCUCUGGAGGAGGCGAGAUGUUUCUCAUGAGAACCCCCCAAGAUCUCACAGGGAUGGGUGGAGAACUGAUUUUGGCAGAGUACUCGGAGGAAUUCCCACCUAUCCUCAUGCAAGUUGACAUGGCAACCAAGAUAAAGAAUUACUACAAAAGGACGCAUACUCAGAUCUGAAAAGAGAUUCACAGAUUGAAAAGAAACGGACAAGCGUGGACCAGAGUCCUUCUGUUUUUUCUCGAUGGGAUGCCAUGGAACUCGGGGAUGUGUCUGUUUUUGGGAAACACAGGCAGAAGAAAAGUCUAGAAUGCUACUCUAUCAGUCUAUCUAUCUAUCUAUCCAUCUAUCUAUCUAACCAGAUUCCCUAAACCGAUUUCUUACCAUUGGUAUUCCGUCUGUCAAAUGAGCAAAGGGGACCGUGUAUCUGUUGCAGACGAUUUCUUACAUAAUAAACGUGACGUCACCAAGUGAGAGGGAGAAAAUUGUUUUAUUGGUGUUCCUGGCAAAUUUUGAUACACAAUAUAAUGAAAAUGUCUUGAAAAGUAUCAGCGCAAAAUUUGAUGAUUACGUCAAGAGUGGAUUUAUUCUAGUGAUGCAAGUUCCAGAAAAAAUUACCCUCCGUUAGAAAAUUUGAAGAGGAAUUAUAAUGAUUCUCCGGAGAAAGUAAAAUGGCGAUCGAAACAGAAUGUUGAUUAUGCUUUUAUGUUUCUGUACGGAAGAAAUAUUUCAGAAUACUAUAUUCAGAUUGAAGACGAUGUGAUUCCAGCCCGUGGAUUCACCAAAGACAUACGUGCUUUUAUCAUAGAAAAUAGCAAAAAGCCAUGGAUAUGUUUAGAAUUUUCUAUUCUUGGAUUUAUUGGGAAACUGUUCAAGUCCAAAGACCUGGAAAAAUUUGCAAGGUACUUGAUUUUAUUUUACGACGAGCAACCUUGUGAUUGUCUUAUCGAUCAUUUCCUAACUUCGAUGACUCAGAAAAAGCGCAUCUUCCACAAACAGUCUUUAUUCCAGCAUCAGGGGGACUGGUCUUCUUCGGAAGAGAAGUCCAGGAAAGGACCUAAUAUGUCGCGGGACAUUUACUUCAAAGAUAAACAAGGAAAAACCACUCAAGGGACGCCAAAAGGAAAGUCGUGACUUGCAAUUACACUUCUGUAGCUUAAUACAAGGAGCAAAAACGUUCUUCCAAAAUAUUUUUAAGUAAGCUUUUUUUUUUUUACUUUUCAAGAUAAGAAGGAUAGAGGUUGUAUUUCGUGGUACGAGUACGGGCACUACAUGAACUUUUUUCAAGUAUGCAUAUCAUUCACUCUACUUAUUUUGUGUACUGUCAUAUUGACAUAUCUGGAUAUAGAUCGUCAGAGGACUAGUCAGCGCGUUAAACAAUCAACUUAAAAUCAAAGAUAUCUUAAAUAGUAAAACAAUUACUUGGAGACAAAA